rnacentral:rRNA from 1 species
AGUUCGGACUGUAGUCUGCAACCCGACUACAUGAAGCUGGAAUCGCUAGUAAUCGCGAAUCAGAAUGUCGCGGUGAAUACGUUCCCGGGUCUUGUACACACCGCCCGUCACACCAUGGGAGUCGGUAACACCCGAAGUCGGUAGCCUAACCGUAAGGAGGGCGCCGCCGAAGGUGGGAUUGAUGACUGGGGUGAAGUCGUAACAAGGUAAC